rnacentral:rRNA from 1 species
UACGGAGGAUGCGAGCGUUAUCCGGAUUUAUUGGGUUUAAAGGGUGCGUAGGCGGACUGUUAAGUCAGCGGUAAAAGCCCGGGGCUCAACCCCGGCAAGCCGUUGAAACUGGCUGUCUUGAGAUGUCGAGAGGUAUGCGGAAUGCGCAGUGUAGCGGUGAAAUGCUUAGAUAUUGCGCAGAACUCCGAUUGCGAAGGCAGCAUACCGGCGGCGAUCUGACGCUGAGGCACGAAAGCGUGGGUAUCGAACAGG